rnacentral:pre_miRNA from 1 species
GUGAGAGAGUAUAAGUGUAGUGGGUGAGAGAGUAUAAGUGUAACGGGUUAGAGUUAUACUCUCUCACCCGCUACACUUAUACUCUCUCACCC